AUUGAACGCUGGCGGCAGGCCUAACACAUGCAAGUCGAGCGGAUGAGUGGAGCUUGCUCCAUGAUUCAGCGGCGGACGGGUGAGUAAUGCCUAGGAAUCUGCCUGGUAGUGGGGGACAACGUUUCGAAAGGAACGCUAAUACCGCAUACGUCCUACGGGAGCAAGUGGGGGAUCUUCGGACCUCACGCUAUCAGAUGAGCCUAGGUCGGAUUAGCUAGUUGGUGAGGUAAAGGCUCACCAAGGCGACGAUCCGUAACUGGUCUGAGAGGAUGAUCAGUCACACUGGAACUGAGACACGGUCCAGACUCCUACGGGAGGCAGCAGUGGGGAAUCUUGCGCAAUGGGCGAAAGCCUAACGCAGCGACGCCGCGUGCGGGAAGAAGGCCUUCGGGUUGUAAACCGCUUUCAGGAGGGACGAAGCCACUCGGGUGAAUAGCCCAGAGGGUGACGGUACCUCAAGAAGAAGUCCCGGCUAACUACGUGCCAGCCGCCGCAGUAAUAC
rnacentral:rRNA from 1 species